UGCAAUAAGCAUGAUCUGCUAGCAAACCAUCAAUACAGUUUGUAGGCUCUCCAACAACUACAAAUAUUUAGCUUCUGACAUAAGAAAUACUCAAAAUGAACCUAAUAGCUGUAACAUGCUAACACAAUCAUAAGCUAGUAAAGACUGUGUUUAUCAGCUAGCUACGCGUUAGCUAAGAUAAGAUAAAAAGGGAAAACAGGGGAACACAGCUGGAGUCAGGCUAAUGAAAUAAGAGUGCAUUCGCUAGCUCAGGUAUAUUUCCAGGCAAGAUUCAUAGAAACGUACCUUAUAGUUUGGGUCGGAUAGCUGCUCACUCAACGAGAAAAAAAACAGGAAGUAACAGCAAUGAUCUUAAUGCAUUCGUUUGACAGCUCCUCGCUUUGGCGUGGCUCGCGAUAACGUCACGUCGCACCGUUUCCUGGUGAACCCCAAAGCCUCGAUGCCAACGCGCCUAGAUGCUAACAAGCUAACAAGCAAACGAUACAUUGGCAGGCUCGGAUCAUGUGAUCUUGUCAGACAGAAACAACCAACAAGCACUGAGGUAACCUCCAGGUACAUACAACACCUCCGUUCUUAUUCCGCUGGAAAUUAAUCAUUUAGCUUUAAGAAAAGUUUAUAGAGCAUCUUUUGUGUCAUUUGUCAAACAAAGGGACCAAACUGUUCCUAACAGCCCACAGCAGGUUACAGUGAGGAUCUCCGUCUGCCAUGCCUGGUCUCUGCUUCGGCUCUGCUCCCAUACAGGGUAAGCGUUGUUAUCCAGCAGCACCUUGAGAGAUCCCACAUUCUGGCCCACCACACGGAAGUCGAAGGUGAGGCAGAAGCUGCCCUGCUGGGCCCGGUCACUGAGGAGCAGCUUCAGCUUGGCUAUAUCCUCUGGUUCUCCUUGGAGCCCCCUCAUGGACAUGUAGUACUCAGCGUCUGAAAAAGAAAUUCCUCCACCUGUUCCUGCCCAGGGCCAACGUAGACCUCUCCAUCAUAGUCGAAAGGCUGCUCGCGGAUCCUAGGAGGCGGCGUUGCUACUGGCUCGGGGAUAAGAUUUCUGAUAUCCUGGUUGUCCAGUGUUCCUCCCAGAAGCUCAGGCCUCACUUGGGAGUCUGGGAUGGCUGCGGGGAGGAAGAGGAAACAGAUGAGACAUGUGGAACCUCAAUCAUGAGUGGAAAAGACAGUAUUUUACCAGAACUCAGAUGUGUUUGUCAUCAUGUAUUUUGCAGCUGCUGUACUUGUCCUUCUCCAUGCAGUUGAAGCACUUCAGCAGCAUUCAUGUCACAUAGCUUAGAUCAUUGCUUCAUGUGCACAAGCAUUUUAUCGAAAAAAUUCUAAAUGCUCAUGCUGAUGUUUCCAGGUCUCAUAUCAAGCUGUGUGUGAAGACGACAUACAACAUUUCCAGCCAUGAGCAGGCAGAGAGAUGCGGAAGGCGCUCUGAAGAGUAAGGAGGCAAGAGGAGGGAGUGCAUGGGGUUUCAAGCAGGGAGGGAUCAGCGGAAGCAGAGUCUUGGAUUUCACAUAAUCUCACCAUUUAGGAAAUCAUCUGCACUGCCUUUGUCUCCAUCCCACGACCUCUGAUAAAACGGCUUAACUACAAGAAAUAAAUGCAUCUUUGAUUCAUGCUGAAAACCCUUGCCUAUUCUCUUUUUCAGUUGGCUACACGAGGCUUCACCUGUUAUAAUCUGGAUCUGGUUUAAAGAGCACACAGCUCAAUCUGUGAUUCCCCUUCUUCUCCAGAUGACUGGCUACCGUACAAAUCUCUUAUUUACACAGCCAUAGCAACACUCCAGCCUCCUGCCGUAGCGACACACACCUGGUUGGUUUCCAGUAAGGACUUGUCGGUAGUGCCUUUGUAGAACAAGAGACAACCGGAAGGUAAG